CAUGGCUUUUGUUUGAAAGAUGGCUUUGGCUAUCACUCUGGGAUGGACCUGCGGUGCAUUAGCUAGUUGGUAAGGUAACGGCUUACCAAGGCGAUGAUGCAUAGCCGAGUUGAGAGACUGAUCGGCCACAAUGGAACUGAGACACGGUCCAUACUCCUACGGGAGGCAGCAGUAGGGAAUCUUCCACAAUGGGCGCAAGCCUGAUGGAGCAACACCGCGUGAGUGAAGAAGGGUUUCGGCUCGUAAAGCUCUGUUGUUGGAGAAGAACGUGCGUGAGAGUAACUGUUCACGCAGUGACGGUAUCCAACCAGAAAGUCACGGCUAACUACGUGCCAGCAGCCGCGGUAAUACGUAGGUGGCAAGCGUUAUCCGGAUUUAUUGGGCGUAAAGCGAGCGCAGGCGGUUGCUUAGGUCUGAUGUGAAAGCCUUCGGCUUAACCGAAGAAGUGCAUCGGAAACCGGGCGACUUGAGUGCAGAAGAGGACAGUGGAACUCCAUGUGUAGCGGUGGAAUGCGUAGAUAUAUGGAAGAACACCAGUGGCGAAGGCGGCUGUCUGGUCUGCAACUGACGC
rnacentral:rRNA from 1 species